GCUGGCGUAGCUCAACUGGUAGAGCAGCUGAUUUGUAAUCAGCAGGUUGCGGGUUCAAGUCCCAUCGUCAGCU
rnacentral:tRNA from 1 species